GGAGAAGCAGGCUCCAUGCAGGGAGCCCAAUGUGGGACUCGAUCCCAGGACCGUGGGAUCAUGCCCUGAGCCGAAGGCAGAUGCUCAACCGCUGAGCCACCCAGGCGUCCCAGAAAACAGAACUUCUAAAGUCCUACAUCAUGAAAUGUUUGAUUGCACAGUAGAGACAAAACUGAUCAUAGCAAUUCAGAGAAGCCAUCAGCAUGGAUUUGACAAAGGGGUUUCCAAAAGAUUUUGGAAUCAAAAGAUUUUGGAACUUGAGCAUACCAGAUUUCAUAUGCUGGAUAGUUAGGAAUUUUUCUGAUAAAGGAGAAGGACGUUCCAAGUAAUGGCUUAACCUCGCACAAAUAAGUGGUAGCUCUGUCACUACUAUAAUCAUUAUUACUGUCAGAAUUGGAAAAAUUGUGAAAGAAACUGGUUGGUGUAUUAGGAUGAACUGAUCUUUUUCAAUUCACUUGGUCCAAGUUUAGUUCACUAAAAUCACAGAGAAUUACAAACACAUUUAUUUCUCUGGGUCAGAGCUGAAUGCUCAGGCUACUAAUUUCUCUGACAUUAUAUGAUAUAAGUAAUUGUUUUUAAUGAUUAUAGUGCCCACAGAGGAAUAAAAAUACGUAUAUGAUUUGAUUCUUUAAGAGUUUAUUCUACAAAUAAUAAAAAUGUUCAUCUAACUGGUAUUAUAAUACCAGAACUAUUCAGCCACUGCACUUGUUUUCAUAGAUUUAUAUUUUUUAAUAUGAGGCAGUCAUAUUUGAGUUUUCACAUACUAAGAACAAGUGUCAAAUUUAGUUUUGACACAUAGUACUUUUGGAAGGAGGCUAAUCAGUGCAUUUUAGUCAAGUAUUUUAAACACUCAGAUUCAGAAGUAGGAUUUUUAUUUUGAAAUAAGUAUUUUCCUAUGUAGAUAAAAAGAAUUUAUAUCUUGGAUUUUCAGGUCAAUUUUCAUAGAUUCUGAACUAUUGUCAGACCCUAUUAUUUUUAUAUUUGAAUCAGAAAAUACAAUUCUUAUUAGUAAUGAUUGUAUUGCCAGACCUUCUGAUCAGUUACAAUUUACCCAAGUUGUUAAAUCAGAAAGCUUUGUACUUGCUUUCUGAAGAAUAUCUAUGAAGGAUGAUGAAAAAGUAAUCCACUUGAGGUUAAUAUCUAUAAAAACUUUUUGGGUUGGGGUAGGGUUAAAAUGAAGUGAAGUAUAAGACAUUUGUAUGUAGAUAACUCUAGAAGAGCUUUUAAUUGUGGGGAGAUUUAAACCUAGUGUUCACAAUGGUUUAAGUAGAUUAUGGUUAUAGAUUACUCUGGGUGCAAGUCAGAAAUUCUAACAGGCUAUGAGAUCAUCUUCACAUAAGGUUCAAGGUACUAUUUCGUUCUUUUUAUUUAUUCUUUAAUUCUUUCUAAAAGGUGAACUGGAUUAGAUUUUUAUCACAUUUCAGAUAAAUCCACUUUCAACCUCUGCAAAAUCUUUUUUAUGGUGUCUAUAAAAAACAAUCUUUGUGCACUUCCUGUAUCCAUUAUGUAUUGUGAUUGUGGUUUCCUUCUUUAACCAUAGGAUACAAUUUUCUCAUAUUUUUUUCUUGUCCUCACCUCAUUAAAAUUUUUUUAAGAGAAAUGACCAGCAGAAAAAAUUGUCAAGUACCUGGCAAUUUGAAAAUUGUACAAAGCUAGUCUGUUAUCAAUGGCUUAUAUUUCUUCUUUCUUUACCAUCCCUAAUUAUUUGUGUUUGCUCUUGCUGUUAGGUAUAUUGUUUUAAGCACUCAGCUGUUGUAGUGGUAUGAAGUACCUGAUAGUCUAUUGAAAAUAAACUAAGAUAUAUUACAGUUGUGGCAUAAGUUCCAGUCUUUGUUAUUUUUUAAUUCCUUUAGACUUUUUAAAGGGCCUGUCAAACUGCUCAAUGGAAAUUAGACUUUUUUCCUCUAAUGUUACUAGUAGGGUCACAUCGAGAAUUAUUCCACAAUACUCCUCAUACUUUUUAAAUUAAAAAAGUCAAUUAUUUCAGACCCAUUAAAGAUAAGAAGUGAAGGGUUUUAGAAGUGGAAAAACCCUGUGGAACUUUUCCUUUAAAAAUAUAUAUAUAUUUUUUAAAAAUCAAAUGCAUUUAAUUCCCACCUUCCUUCCUUUAUUCAACAGACUAGGGAGUACACACAAAUUAUCAAAUGUUCCUUUUGAAAUGAAAGCUAAAUCAUGUCACUACUCUGUUCAAAACUCUCUAGUGACUUCUCAUUUCACAUAAGCUAAAGUUUACAUUGGCUUUUAGGAUUCAACAUGACCUAAACCCUUGUUUCCUCUCUGAUCUCAUCUCCUUGCACUCUCCCCAUGGCUCACUCUGCUCAGUCACAUUGGUCUCCCACUGAUUCUUCUAACAUGCCAAGAAAGUUCUUUUCUGCCUGAGAUACCUUUCUACCAGAGAAAUUAAAUUAGCACAGCUUGCUCCCUCAUUAUUUUCAAGUCUUUUCACAAAUGUAAACUUAUCAGAGAGGUCUUCCCUGAUCACCUAUCUGAAAUCAAAACCUCAUCACCACCACCUAUAAGUACUACCUACCUAUCUCUGCCCCCUUCCCAGUUUUACUUUGCUCCAAAGCAUGUAUUACCUUGACAUACAAUAUAAUUUAUUUCUUCACUUUUUUCUUCCUCCACAAGACUAUAAACUCCAUGCUGACAGUGUUUUGUUUUUUCUUGUUUGUUCAUUAUCAUAUUUCCAGCACCUAAAACAAUUCCUGGCACACAUGAGGUAUUCAACACAUUUGUUUAAUGACCAAAAACAGACUUAAUAAAUAAGGCUCUCUCUCUCUAUUCUGCUUUGUACCAAUAUUCCAUUUUCUAGUUUCUAAAGUGAUUUAUACCAUUUACUCACAUAUGUAACCUGACCUUAAUUGAAAAAAUUCAAAAUAACUUCAUGACAAAAACAUUUAAAAAUCUGACCCUGGCUUUGGUUUGCUUUUAAAAAUCAGUGUAAUACCUAAGUAGGUUGGAACUACAAGGAUGGAAAGGAUUAUCAUGCAAAAAUUAAUUUUUUAAUGUUUUUAAUUAAUUUUUUAAAAAGCAGGAAUAGCUAUAUUAAUAUCAGAUAAAGGAGAAUUCAAAGCAAGAAAGUUACUAGACACAAACAAGGAUACUACAUAAUGAUAAAAGAAUCACUCCAUCAGGUAGAUAUAAUCCUAAAUGUGAAUGCACCAAACAAGAAAAUCUUAAAUACAUCAAGCAAAAACUAAUAGAAUUGAAAGAAGAAACAGAUCAAUCCACAAUUACAGUUGGAACUUCAAUAUCCCACUGUCAGUAACUGAGAGAACUAUGAGAAAAUCCGGAAGGCAGAGAAGAAAUGUACAAAUCAUCAAUUAUCAGGAUAACUUACAUACAUAGAUCACCCCACCCAACAACAGUAAACUGCACAGUCUUGAAAAGAAUGGAAGAAGGAAGAAGUAAAACUCUGAAUAUCUGCAGAUGACAUACUAUAUACAUAAAACCCUAGAGACUCCAUCAAAAAACUACUAAAACUGAUAAAUGAAUUCAGUAAAGUCACAGAAUACAAAAUCAAUGUACAGAAAUCUGCUGCAUUCCUAUACACUAAUAAUGAAGGAGUAGAAAGUGAAAUUAGGAAAACAGUCCCAUUUACAACUACAUCAAAAACAAUAAACUAUCUAGAUAUAAACUUAACCAAAGCGGUAUAAGACCUGUACUCUGAAAACUAUAAAACACUGAUGAGAGAAAUUAAAGAUGAUGCAAAGAAAUGGAAAGACAUUCCAUGCUCAUAGGUUGGAAGAACAAAUAUUGUCAAAAUAUCUAUACUAUCCAAAGCAUUCCACACAUUUAAUGCAAUCCAUAUCAAAAUACCAACAGCAUUUUUCACAGAACUAGAACAAACAAUCCUAAAAUGUGUAUGGACCCACAAAAGACACUAAAGAGCCAAAGCAAUCUUGAAAAAGAAAAAAAAAAAACUAGAAGUAUCACAAUUAGAGACUUCAAGUUGUAUCACAAAGCAGUAGUAAUUAAAACAGUAUGGUACUGGCAUAAAAAAAGACAAAAAGAUUGGGGCACAUGGGUGGCUCAGUUGGUUAAAUGUCUGUCUUUGGCUCAGGUCAUGAUCCCAGGGUCCUGGGAUGGAGCCCCACAUCAGGCUCCCUGAUCAGUAGGCAGCCUGCCCCUCCUCCCUCAUGCACCCGUGCAUGUACUCUCUCUCUACCCCAUCCUUCUUGCUCUCAAAUAAAUAAACAAAAUCUUAAAAAAAAAAAAAAAAAAAAAA
rnacentral:lncRNA from 1 species